GGGCGAUUAGUGUAGUGGUUAUCAUACUUGCCUUCCAAGCAAGUGACAGGGGUUCGAUUCUCCUAUCGCUCA
rnacentral:tRNA from 1 species